AUUUUCUUCAGGUGCUUCAGAUACUUUUAGAAUUUCACAAAGGGGUUAAUUAUGCAAAAACAUUGAACGAUGAUAUCGUGGACAAUGCGGGCCUGCAAACAUCUUUCAUGGCAUACUCCGAAGUACUUAAAGAAGAAUGCGACGAUGUAGAUACGCGUCUACAAGGCGUGAACCACUUUUCGGGGCCGCAGCUGUUCUUCGUUUCAUGGGCGAUGGCUUUUUGUCGCAAUGUAAGUACGAAAGGAAUCCUCGUUCAAAUUGAGAAAAAUAUACACAGCCCUGAACAACUCAGGUAAGCGGAGCAGGUACUGCAGUGUCCAUAAUACCAUCUAAUAAGAGAAAGUGUGAUCCUGAUUAUUUU